rnacentral:rRNA from 1 species
CUACGGGUUGCUGCAGUGGGGAAUAUUGCACAAUGGGCGCAAGCCUGAUGCAGCCAUGCCGCGUGUAUGAAGAAGGCCUUCGGGUUGUAAAGUACUUUCAGCGGGGAGGAAGGGAGUAAAGUUAAUACCUUUGCUCAUUGACGUUACCCGCAGAAGAAGCACCGGCUAACUCCGUGCCAGCAGCCGCGGUAAUACGGAGGGUGCAAGCGUUAAUCGGAAUUACUGGGCGUAAAGCGCACGCCGGCGGUUUGUUAAGUCAGAUGUGAAAUCCCCGGGCUCAACCUGGGAACUGCAUCUGAUACUGGCAAGCGUGAGUCUCGUAGAGGGGGAUAGAAUUCCAGGUGUAGCGGUGAUAUGCGGAGAGAUCUGGAGGAAUACCGGUGGCGAAGGCGGCCCCCUGGACGAAGACUGACGCUCAGGUGCGAAAGCGUGGGGAGCAAACAGGAUUAGAUACCCUCGUAGUC